rnacentral:rRNA from 1 species
CAGUAGCCGCGGUAAUACGGAGGGUGCAAGCGUUAAUCGGAAUUACUGGGCGUAAAGCGCACGCAGGCGGUCUGACAAGUCAGAUGUGAAAUCCCCGGGCUUAACCUGGGAACUGCAUUUGAAACUGUCAGGCUGGAGUCUUGUAGAGGGGGGUGGAAUUCCAGGUGUAGCGGUGAAAUGCGUAGAGAUCUGGAGGAAUACCGGUGGCGAAGGCGGCCCCCUGGACAAAGACUGACGCUCAGGUGCGAAAGCGUGGGGAGCAAACAGGAUUAGAUACCCCGGUAGUCCCUGUCUCUUAUAA